rnacentral:rRNA from 1 species
GAUGAACGCUAGCGGCAGGCUUAAUACAUGCAAGUCGAGGGGCAGCAGGUCCCGCAGCAAUGCGGGAUGCUGGCGACCGGCAAACGGGUGCGGAACACGUACAGAACCUUCCUUUAAGUGGGGAAUAGCCCGGGGAAACCCGGAUUAAUACCCCGUAACAUAAUGAAGUGGCAUCACUUUAUUAUUAUAGCAGCAAUGCGCUUGAAGAUGGCUGUGCGGCUGAUUAGGUAGUUGGCGGGGUAACGGCCCACCAAGCCUACGAUCAGUAACUGGGGAGAGAGCACGAGCAGUCACACGGGCACUGAGACACGGGCCCGACUCCUACGAGAGGCAGCAGUAAGGAAUAUUGGGCAAUGGACGCAAGUCUGACCCAGCCAUGCCGCGUGGAGGAUGAAGGUCCUCUGGAUUGUAAACUUCUUUUAUCUGGGAAGAAAUCUAUUUUUUCUAAAGUAGUUGACGGUACCAGAUGAAUAAGCGCCGGCUAACUCCGUGCCAGCCGCCGCAGUAA